AUUUUUUUUUUUUACAUUCUCGUGUUUGAAGAUCCUUCGGGUGGAAUCUGCAGAAAAAUGGCGUUGAUGAAAGGAGAGCCGCUGGUGAGGAAGCUGGCCGUGCUCGCCAAGUACGUUGUUCUUCCGGGAGCCAUGGUUGCUGCUCUCGUUUACUCUCCUCCUGAUUACGCUUACUACAAGAAUGGCGAUCAGUCAUCCAAAUAGAACUCUUUCCCCUUCUUCCCCAAUUCGGAUCGUUUGAUCAUGUAGGCUUGCAUUUGCAGAACUUUCUCCAAAAUGUUAAACAUGGUGUGUAAUGGACAUAUUUCAUCAUCAUGUCUCAAUAAUUAGUCAUUUGUUUUACUUUUGUGGCUUCGUACUUGGAGAAAUAAUAUCCAUUUGUUUCUUUGAAGAAUAUUCAGAAUGAGAAGUAUAUUUUUCCUUCCUUUU